CACUGGACCACCGAGUGCCCACUAGCCACUCCCACUCCCCUCGUUCCGCUUCCGCCGGCCGUUGCCAACCCCGCGCCACCACCAAACCCUGGCCGUGCGCCGCCCGUUCCCCAUCCCACGUCCCAGCAAGCGCACCCGAGCGCCGCCCACUUCGUCUCCCGGCGCCCCCUCCCACUGGCCGCGCCGAUCCCCUCGCCGUCCUCCAGCUCCAGCUCGACCCCGACACCGCCGACGUAAGCAGCCUCUCGACCCGAGCUCCGUCCUCCUGCUCCUGCCCGACACCGAGUUCUAUCGACCGGAUCCUCAAGCUCCACCACCGACCUCUUCUCCCAGCUCCUGCCCAACCCUAGCGCCGUCGACCUCGUCUUCUAGCUUGGCCGCCUACCUCGUAUUCCAGCUGCCUGCCGGCCGCCGGUUCGGGUCGCUACUGGUUGCCGCCCGAUCUCCUCCGCAGUCGUCGCCCCGAGCAUGUCCACCUCGCCUCGGUGGUGAGAAGCUAUGUGUGAGGCUCUGCAUACACUGCAAUGAACAGCAAGUAAAGGAUACAUAACCAAGACCCAGUGAAUCUCUCACACCAUGGCGAAGCACAUCAAGCACAAUGGCCAAGCUCUCCUACUACUUUCGUUGGUUCUUGUGAUUUGCUUGGCCACUCCUCCGCCGAUAUACGGACGGAGCAUCGACAAGAUGGGGAUCAACAUAACGGAUGUGAGCUAUCGUUGUCGCUACGCCAUAUUUCCGCCAAAUGCAUUCAAGUGGUGCUGCGAUGGUCCUUGCUGGGGUGGCCCGUGCUACAAGCACAGAGACGAUUGCGUCAAGACUUGCCAGUGUCCCGGCCCAUGAAUGAUGAUCAUCAUGUUUCCUAUCAAUCUGCACUUUGCUGAUUGCGUUGGAGCGAAUAAUUUUAGUGUUUCUGAAACUGUACUAGUUUUUUUUCCUUUUCCUAUCGAUUUGUAAGUCUGCGUGUGGAAACUCACCCUGAUGUGUGGUGGUGUAAGGGAAAGGAAAUGGCGAUC